rnacentral:rRNA from 1 species
UACGUAGGUGGCAAGCGUUAUCCGGAAUUAUUGGGCGUAAAGAGCGCGCAGGUGGUUGAUUAAGUCUGAUGUGAAAUCCCACGGCUUAACCGUGGAGGGUCAUUGGAAACUGGUCGACUUGAGUGCAGAAGAGGGAAGUGGAAUUCCAUGUGUAGCGGUGAAAUGCGUAGAGAUAUGGAGGAACACCAGUGGCGAAGGCGGCUUCCUGGUCUGUAACUGACACUGAGGCGCGAAAGCGUGGGGAGCAAACAGGAUUAGAUACCCCU